ensembl:lncRNA
UAAAAAUACUUUUUUUGACCGGUCACGUGUUUCUCUUCGUCUGAGAAGCCCACGCGAUCACGUUCCUUGAUAUGUUUCCCCUUGUUAAAGGGAAACAGACACAUGAGGGGCUCUAUUUCAAUUCUGUGAAGAUGUGUUGGAGAGCAGCUGUCUGUCUGGGGGGGGGGGGGGGGGGGCAUCUGUCCCCCCGACAUUACUGUUGUUGUCCCUACGGACAGUAGUGUGUGUAAUCCACCAUUAAGACCAGUAGCUAUGAGCUAGAUAUCAUGUUGCCGUUGCUACAUGGAUGGAAUCGUGUCGAUUGCAAAGGUUCUUGGCGAGUUUGUGCAAACUUUUCCGACGAAGAUGAAGUGCGUGAAUUUUCCCACAGCCAAUCGCCUCCGUUUAAAAGCAACAUCGCAGCGAGCUCAGUGCACGGACGUGUGCGCGGCUGCUAGCAGCUAACGGUGCUAGCGGAGCUAAGAGUCAAAGAGUCGGCCAUCUUUAAGGGAAAAUCACAUGGCCCCGUAUUGUGUUUCCUGUUUGGUGCUAAAAUCUUGAAAACGAUGAAAAAGGGAAUCUUUAUUACUGAUUACUUAAAGAAUGCACGUUUAACACACGAAGCGCUGACUUCAUUCCUCAGACCGGAGCUGUUUCCUGCAUUUUACAGCAAAGGUUCUGAUAUUUGUCAAUCCGGUGACCUUCUUCUGUGACUCAGCGUUCUUUGUGUCGAGCUCAAGGUCAUAAUCAGACUCCCACAGUUACAGACAAAUAAUCUCUGAGUGGAAACUAAAUAUGAUCCGGGUUGAUUCCCAGCAUUAUAACAGAAGUGGAAAACAUUUCCUGAUUCCCGUGUGAUAUUUUUAUGUGGCGGCCGUCCUUUGAUCAGUGAGCUGAGCCAAGAGAUAAAAGCACGCAACUUGGUUGUUGUUGUUGUUGUUUACGCUUUUAACCCACCACCCUCCCAGUGGAAGGUAAACGGGGAGUAUCGGUCUCCUUCCAGGUAGGCAGGUACCCUCUUUGUAGCGUGUCACACACAGGCAAACGCACACAGACGCACACACACAACCGCGCCCUCGGCCCUGCUGCUCCACGCUGGGAGAGCUGACGUAGGCCGGCGUCCGUAAACAGAGUAACACCGACUCUCCUGCAGCAGCUGGUUCCACCUAUUGUUCCUCGCUGCCGGAGGGAGCGCGUCACGGCGAGGAGCGACCGGGAGCACCGCCUUCACACCGCCUUCACGCCGCCUUCACACCGCCUUCACGCCGCCUACACG